rnacentral:rRNA from 1 species
UGCUGGAGGUAUCAGAAGUGCGAAUGCUGACAUAAGUAACGAUAAAGCGGGUGAAAAGCCCGCUCGCCGGAAGACCAAGGGUCCUGUCCAACGUUAAUCGGGGCAGGGUGAGUCGACCCCUAAGGCGAGGCCGAAAGGCGUAGUCGAUGGGAAACAGGUUAAUAUUCCUGUACUUGGUGUUACUGCGAAGGGGGGACGGAGAAGGCUAUGUUAGCCGGGCGACGGUUGUCCCGGUUUAAGCAUGUAGGCUGGUUAUCCAGGCAAAUCCGGAUAAUCAAGGCUGAGGUGUGAUGACGAGGCACUACGGUGCUGAAGUAACAAAUGCCCUGCUUCCAGGAAAAGCCUCUAAGCAUCAGGUAACAUCAAAUCGUACCCCAAACCGACACAGGUGGUCAGGUAGAGAAUACCAAGGCGCUUGAGAGAACUCGGGUGAAGGAACUAGGCAAAAUGGUGCCGUAACUUCGGGAGAAGGCACGCUGGUGUGUAGGUGAAGUCCCUGCGGAUGGAGCUGAGACCAGUCGAAGAUACCAGCUGGCUGCAACUGUUUAUUAAAAACACAGCACUGUGCAAACACGAAAGUGGACGUAUACGGUGUGACGCCUGCCCGGUGCCGGAAGGUUAAUUGAUGGGGUUAUCCGUAAGGAGAAGCUCUUGAUCGAAGCCCCGGUAAACGGCGGCCGUAACUAUAACGGUCCUAAGGUAGCGAAAUUCCUUGUCGGGUAAGUUCCGACCUGCACGAAUGGCGUAAUGAUGGCCAGGCUGUCUCCACCCGAGACUCAGUGAAAUUGAACUCGCUGUGAAGAUGCAGUGUACCCGCGGCAAGACGGAAAGACCCCGUGAACCUUUACUAUAGCUUGACACUGAACAUUGAGCCUUGAUGUGUAGGAUAGGUGGGAGGCUUUGAAGCGUGGACGCCAGUCUGCGUGGAGCCAACCUUGAAAUACCACCCUUUAAUGUUUGAUGUUCUAACGUUGGCCCCUGACCGGGGUUGCGGACAGUGUCUGGUGGGUAGUUUGACUGGGGCGGUCUCCUCCCAAAGCGUAACGGAGGAGCACGAAGGUUAGCUAAUCCUGGUCGGACAUCAGGAGGUUAGUGCAAUGGCAUAAGCUAGCUUGACUGCGAGCGUGACGGCGCGAGCAGGUGCGAAAGCAGGUCAUAGUGAUCCGGUGGUUCUGAAUGGAAGGGCCAUCGCUCAACGGAUAAAAGGUACUCCGGGGAUAACAGGCUGAUACCGCCCAAGAGUUCAUAUCGACGGCGGUGUUUGGCACCUCGAUGUCGGCUCAUCACAUCCUGGGGCUGAAGUAGGUCCCAAGGGUAUGGCUGUUCGCCAUUUAAAGUGGUACGCGAGCUGGGUUUAGAACGUCGUGAGACAGUUCGGUCCCUAUCUGCCGUGGGCGCUGGAGAAUUGAGGGGGGCUGCUCCUAGUACGAGAGGACCGGAGUGGACGCAUCACUGGUGUUCGGGUUGUCAUGCCAAUGGCACUGCCCGGUAGCUAAAUGCGGAAGAGAUAAGUGCUGAAAGCAUCUAAGCACGAAACUUGCCCCGAGAUGAGUUCUCCCUGAGACUUUAAGUCUCCUGAAGGAACGUU